CUUUGAGAACGGUGAAUGCAAACUGCGUAUUCUGUUCCCAAAACAGGAGCAGAAACAGCGGGUUAAAUAACGGUUACCUUCAAGAACAUUUGUACUCUUAAUUGAUGGUGUUUGAAUUGGAAAAUAACCUCACAAGGAUGAAAGACUCUGAAUUGGAGACCACGUGUGAAGGUCAGGUCAACUGCCCACUGGAGGAAAGGAACAAACAUGAUCGUCAUUAUCACAACCUUUAUUUGAGCGCGAUAAUCUUGAAGAUUUUGGGUCCUGUCUGUAAUCUAUAAAAACUAAGCUGCAAACUGGUCCUGUGGACAUUCUAUUGCUGUCUCCUGUGAUCAAUCCUUGGUGGGUAGCCUGUGGAAAAGCCUUUUUAACACUCAGCUGAAUAUUUGAGGAAAUCCUUAGCUUCAUUUACAUUCCCUUUUGAUAUAAACUGUGCAAAAAGUCAACUACAAGGUACAUUAUGGUAUGAUGUCAUCAAAAAGACUUCUUUCAAAGUAAGUUGUGCGCCCAUCAUUUAAAAGCUUUGACAUUUCCUCCUCCCCCACCCUAAGGCAACAUGCAGCCCAUGGGCAUUCUACAGUUGGCCAUACCUAGGAGUUGGGAAUUGGAACCUUGCUCGUGUGGAGUGGGGAAUUUGACCAGAACUGGAAAGUCUUUCCAGGGCAAUGAACAUGUUUUAUCUUUUAAUAAGGAGGUGUUUAUUGGUCAAAAGUUCUCUUUCCCAAGCAGAUGACCCAGAAGAAAAGGUCUACAAAAAAAAGUCAUGGCUCCUUAUCUUGCCUUUUACAAAGAAAUGACAACAAAAUCCAGCACUUGGUUGGGGCAUUUGAACACAAAUUUUGCCCCGUGGGGUAAGAAUUUGAAAAAACCCAAUCAUAAAGUUCAAGUGCCUGGGGGGGUUGCCUGGUAGGGGGAAUGUUGAAGCUUUGAAUUGAUCAACAUACAUCUACAUGUAUUAAGUUCUCAUCUGUUGCAGAUUCAAUCCUUUUUAAUUCCCCAGUGCGAAUCUGUUGAACACUAGUUUUUGUUUUCAGACAAUCUUGGACUAAAUGUUCUGGACACCUUGGUUGUUUUUUACUUAAAACAUCAAUUUCAUUCUUAUUAACAUGUUGCUAUUAUUAUAAUAGUAAUGGAUUUAGCACUCAGAAAAUCAGCCAAUAGUGUCCUAAGCCAAAACUCGGCCAAUACUGUCCAAAAAAAAAAAAUCAGCCAUUACUGUCCAAAAUAAAAAAUUGGCUACUAGAGUUUAAAAUCAAAGAUCAGACCUUAGUGAUCCAAAUUGAAAACUAGCUUCUAGUGUCCAAAAUCCAAAACUAGUAUCCUAGUGUCCAAAAUAAAAAAUCAGCCCCUAGUGUCUAAAAUCAAAACUCACAUGCUAGCUCCAAAAUCAAAAAUUGCAAAUCUGCCAUUAGUGGCCAAAAUCGCAAAACAGUUAAUAGUGGCCAAAUUGCAAAAAUGGUUACUAGUGGCCAGAAUCAGAAAACGGUCACUAGUGGCCAAAAUCAUAAGUCGGCCACUAGUGACCAAAAUUGCAAAUCGGCUACUGGUGGCCAAAAUUGCAAAACAGCCACUAGUGGCCAAAAUUGCAAUACGGCCAUUAGUAGCUGAAAUCACUAAACGGCCACUAGUGGCCAAAAUUGCAAAAUUUCUUGAAAUUUUUUGUCUUCCAAGUACAAUUUUAUUUCAAAGGAUAUCUGAGAAGUUCAAACAAAAUAAAUGGAGGGGGCCAUUUUCAUAUUAUGACAAAAGAGUAGUACAAUGUGAAUUGUCAACAAAAGGAUUGCCACUUAAACAUGUAACGUAUAUAUACGUUUUGAGCAAAUACGAAAUACACUGAUGGGAAUGUGAGCUGCCAACUUCAGCUUUUUGGUACUUUCCACAUUUGACAAAUUAUUACUCGCAGAGAUUAUAUUUUCCUCACAUCCUCUCCCCACAGUAUCAUUUGAGUAUUGAUUUGAAUGUGUGAAUUGUGUGAUAAUUAUGUUUAAAUAUUAACUUUUAUUAACCUUAAACUGUUUCAGGAUGUUUAUUUGUAGAGCUCAGAGCUUAAUGUGACUGUGUGGUUGAAGGUUCUUUGAAUCACAGUUUGUGGCUGGACAAAUUGCUUCCUCAUGUUUCCUUGACAGUCCUAGCUCCUCACGGUUUAUGCCGAAAUGUUCAUUGGUCUUGAGGGAUGGCUUUCGGUGUGUAACAACGUCAGCAUUCAGCUCAACUGAUUCAAUCCAUGAAGUGACAGAAGUGGACUACUUUGGAGUCAUGUCCAUCUGACACAAACAAAGAAAGCCACACCUCAAGUCACAUUGAGACUUCCACGGCACACAACAAGGUCGUAUAUUUCUUCGAAGUGCAGGUUCCAA
rnacentral:lncRNA from 1 species